rnacentral:rRNA from 1 species
GACGAACGCUGGCGGCGUGCUUAACACAUGCAAGUCGAACGCUGAAGCUCAGCUUUUGUUGGGUGGAUGAGUGGCGAACGGGUGAGUAACACGUGAGUAACCUGCCCCCUUCUUUGGGAUAACGCCCGGAAACGGGUGCUAAUACUGGAUAUUCACUGGUCUUCGCAUGGGGGUUGGUGGAAAGGGUUUUUCUGGUGGGGGAUGGGCUCGCGGCCUAUCAGCUUGUUGGUGGGGUGAUGGCCUACCAAGGCUUUGACGGGUAGCCGGCCUGAGAGGGUGACCGGUCACAUUGGGACUGAGAUACGGCCCAGACUACUACGGGAGGCAGCAGUGGGGAAUAUUGCACAAUGGGCGCAAGCCUGAUGCAGCGACGCCGCGUGAGGGAUGGAGGCCGUCGGGUUGUGAACCUCUUUCGCUCAUGGUCAAGCCGCAACAAUGGUUGUGGUGAGGGUAGUGGGUAAAGAAGCGCCGGCUAACUACGUG